rnacentral:rRNA from 1 species
GAUGAACGCUGGCGGCGUGCCUAAUACAUGCAAGUCGAGCGAACAGACGAGGAGCUUGCCCCUCUGACGUUAGCGGCGGACGGGUGAGUAACACGUGGAUAACCUACCUAUAAGACUGGGAUAACUUCGGGAAACCGGAGCUAAUACCGGAUAAUAUAUUGAACCGCAUGGUUCAAUAGUGAAAGACGGUUUUGCUGUCACUUAUAGAUGGAUCCGCGCCGCAUUAGCUAGUUGGUAAGGUAACGGCUUACCAAGGCGACGAUGCGUAGCCGACCUGAGAGGGUGAUCGGCCACACUGGAACUGAGACACGGUCCAGACUCCUACGGGAGGCAGCAGUAGGGAAUCUUCGGCAAUGGGCGAAAGCCUGACGGAGCAACGCCGCGUGAGUGAUGAAGGUCUUCGGAUCGUAAAACUCUGUUAUUAGGGAAGAACAAAUGUGUAAGUAACUAUGCACGUCUUGACGGUACCUAAUCAGAAAGCCACGGCUAACUACGUG